UCCCGCUUAGCUCAGCUGGUAGAGCGCGUCACUAGUAUUAUCUCCUGAUACAAAAACCAAAUGACGAGGUCAGUCGUUCAAGUCGGCUAGCGGGAA